rnacentral:snoRNA from 1 species
AUCCCAUGAUAAGAACACUUACAAAGUAACUCCUUGAAUCGCUCCCAAGCCUCAUACAAAGACUCAUCAUCCAAUUGUUGGAAAGUUGUGAUCUUGUUCCUUAACUU